AUCUUAGACAAUGGGGGCAACCAUGAUCCAGCCAUGCCGCGUGUGUGAAGAAGGUCUUCGGAUUGUAAAGCACUUUAAGUUGGGAGGAAGGGCUUUAGGUUAAUACCCUGAAGUUUUGACGUUCCCAACAGAAUAAGCACCGGCUCACUCUGUGCCAGCAGCCGCGGUAAUACAGAGGGACCAAGCGUUAAUCGGAAUUACUGGGCGUAAAGCGCGCGUAGGUGGUUCAGUAAGAUGGGUGUGAAAUGCCCGGGCUUAACCUGGGAACUGCUUUCAUAACUGCUGAGCUAGAGUACGGUAGAGGGUAGUGGAAUUUCCUGUGUAGCGGUGAAAUGCGUAGAUAUAGGAAGGAACACCAGUGGCGAAGGCGACUACCUGGACUGAUACUGACACUGAGGUGCGAAAGCGUGGGGAGCAAACA
rnacentral:rRNA from 1 species